UUUUAGGAUCUGAAGCGGAAAUGUCCUGAGCCAAUAUUAACAAGCAAAAAAGUGAAUAAAGAACAGAAUUCCAAGCUGGGAUUGGGUUUCUAGUGUGCGUUCACCAAACUUUCAAGAUCAGCCAAUAAGGCAUGGGGAAAAGAUUCUUGCGUAUGUUUUCUUUUGGGAAUAGAGGCUGAUACUGCAGCCAAACAAAGUCCCAGGGGUUGGCAAACAAAUCAAUAACUCUGUACACAGUGGCCUUCAUGUCACUGGGUUCACCCCGAAAAAUGUUUUGUUAGUGGUACAUUUGCCUGUGAUUCUGUAAAGAAAAAAAAAACAUGAUUAUUCACCCUUCCAAUUAAAUAACAGGAAAGAAAGUCCUGCCCAGAAGACGAAUCCAAAUGAAAACAUAUCCAAGGUUUGGCUGUCCACCCUCUGCUUGAAGGCAUAAGGAAGGAAGCUCAACCUCAUUCUGCAUCAGCGGGUUUCACUCUCAAAAGAGCUUCUCAGAGAGACUUUCAGAAGUUUGAAGAAUUUGGUUUUUGAUCCCAGGUGAUCCCCACUGUUGUUUGAAACUUCUCAUGAUGCUGCCUAAAAUGUUGUGUGCCUUUCUUACAACCGCCUCACACUGCUGAAUCCUAUUCUGCUCGCAAUUAGUGACUGUUCGAGACAUUUUUACCCAAGUACUGCUACUAAUCCAGGAAAAGGAGAAGAUCUGCUUUGGAAAUUCCCUCACAUUAUAACAGGGGUGGAAAGCUUCCACACUUAAGCUAUUCCACCAUCCCCGCUCUGCUGUCUUACUUUAAACAAAGAGGAUUCCAGAGGCCUUUAUGGAAUGAGAAAGGGAAAAAAAAAAAAAAAACUGGGAACCAGGCCUCUUGUCAGUCAACAGGAGUUGAUUGGAGUUCAUCACCAGCCUAUCAAGUACUUAGAAGCUACACUAAAGCUUGUAUUGAAAAAGAUCCCAUCAUCUCUUCAAGCUAAGUGGUCACCCAGACUUAGGACACAUUUUUCAGCAACUUAGAAGCACCACAUGGACAAAACCUUGCAGGAGAUGAAGAAACUGGAUGAAGGACUUUCUAUGGAGGGAGCAAAAUAAAGGAGAAUGGCUGGAGAAUGCAGGCAUCGAUCCUGCUACCUCUUGCAUGCUAAGCAAGCGCUCUACCAUUUGAGCUAAUUCCCCAGCUGUCUGACAGCAUUCUUGCACAAUUUCCCAAGAAAGAAAGAAACCAAGAUAACAUACAGAAACUAGCAGGGGAAGAUUGGUGUGUCAUACAGAGAGUGCAAUCUAACCUACCUACAUCAAAGGAAACCCCUAAGUCAAUACAUCUAGAUCAUGGGUGUUAAACUCCAUCGUGAUGUAUUGUAACAUAUCAUGCUUUUUGCCUUUGUGGAACCAGGGUGAGCAUGGCCUGUGCAUGACGCAUCCAACCCGCAGGCAGCCAGUUUGACACCCCUGAUUUAGAUCUUUAGAGGGAUGCCUGAAUUAGCACUAAGAGGCAUCCCACCACCUCAGGUGGAUUUGGUUAAGUCAUGAUCCAGUCAGUUGGGGAAAUCAUUAAACCAUAGUCAGCCAAUCAAGGGUUAGCUGACACAUUUUCACCUCCAAAGCAAGAGAGCUUCUCUAGCAACCUAACAAAUAUGGUCAAAAUCCUGCUGCUUCCAGUUAUGAAAAGAAAAUCUCUUGCUCAUAUCCCAAGUGAAACUUCAGGCAGGUCAAACCAACACAGUUCUAGGCUGCAUUUAACAGAGGGAUAGAAUCAAGAUCACGUGAAGUGUUAAUACCACUUUAUAACGCCUUGGUAAGACCACAC